rnacentral:rRNA from 1 species
GAUGAACGCUGGCGGUAUGCUUAACACAUGCAAGUCGAACGGUCACUUCGGUGAUAGUGGCGGACGGGUGAGUAACGCGUGAGAAUCUGUCCUCAGGUCGGGGACAACAGUUAGAAAUGACUGCUAAUACCGGAUGUGCCUUUGGGUGAAAGAUUUAUUGCCUGAAAAAGAGCUCGCGUCAGAUUAGCUAGUAGGUGGUGUAAGAGACUACCUAGGCUCCGAUCUGUAGCUGGUCUGAGAGGACGAUCAGCCACACUGGAACUGAGACACGGUCCAGACUCCUACGGGAGGCAGCAGUGGGGAAUUUUCCGCAAUGGGCAAAAGCCUGACGGAGCAAUACCGCGUGAGGGACGAAGGCUUUUGGGUCGUAAACCUCUUUUCUCAAGGAAGAUGAUGACGGUACUUGAGGAAUAAGCAGCGGCUAACUCUGUG